UACGUAGGCAGCAAGCGUUGUUCGGAGUUACUGGGCGUAAAGAGUGCGUAGGCGGUUCUCUAAGUUUGGUGUGAAAUCUCCCGGCUCAACUGGGAGGGUGCGCCGAAGACUGGAAAGCUUGAGUGUGGGAGAGGUAAGCGGAAUUCCUGGUGUAGCGGUGAAAUGCGUAGAUAUCAGGAGGAACACCGGUGGUGUAGACGGCUUACUGGACCACUACUGACGCUGAGGCACGAAAGCGUGGGGAGCAAACAGG
rnacentral:rRNA from 1 species